UACGUAGGCAGCGAGCGUUGUUCGGAGUUACUGGGCGUAAAGAGUGCGUAGGCGGUUUUCUAAGUUUGGUGUGAAAUCUCCCGGCUUAGCUGGGAGGGUGCGCCGAAAACUGGAAGGCUUGAGUAUGGGAGAGGUAAGCGGAAUUCCUGGUGUAGCGGUGAAAUGCGUAGAUAUCAGGAGGAACACCUGCGGUGUAGACGGCUUACUGGACCAUAACUGACGCUGAGGCACGAAAGCGUGGGUAGCAAACAGG
rnacentral:rRNA from 1 species